rnacentral:rRNA from 1 species
AGUUGUUGUGGUUAAAAAGCUCGUAGUUGGAUCUCAACAGCCUUGAAGCGGUUAACUUUGUAGUUUUACUGCUUUAUAGGCUGUGCUCUUGCUGGAGGUUUAGGGGUGCUCUUGAUCGAGUGUCUCUGGAUGCCAGCAGGUUUACUUUGAAAAAAUUAGAGUGCUCAAAGCAGGCUAAAAUGCCUGAAUAUUCGUGCAUGGAAUAAUAGAAUAGGAUGUCGAUCCUAUUUUGUUGGUUUUCGGGACUCGACAUAAUGAUAAAUAGGGACAGUCGGGGGCAUUUGUAUUCAAACAACAGAGGUGAAAUUCUUGGACCGUUUGA